AAAGUAAAUAAACAAAGAGAAAUUUCAUGGCCUCUUUAUAUCUGUAGCAGGGUCAUAAAACAGGAAGAAUAAAAACUUAUACAAACCACUGGGCUCUUUGGACACCUGAGAUUGAGAUCCCCAUGAGUAUUAGACACCUUCUUUAACUUCCUAUUAUUUACCAAGUAAAUAUCUUUAUUGUGUUUUAUGUCUUUGGUAAACAUAAAUAUCUUAAAAUGGUAUCUUCUCUUGAGUCUCACUAAAUAAUGAAACAGAUGAUAACUCUGUCUUUAGCAUUCUCUUGGAAAAGUCUGAAAAUGGAGUAAAACAUUCAUUUAGGGAAAACAGUGUUUGAUAUUUCUUUAAGAUAGACGACUUAUUAGACUUUAUAUUUACAUCUGUUUUUUGCUUCCAAACUUUUGUAUCUCAGGUGGAUGAUCUUUCAAAAGAGGUUGACAAAGAUGUAAACUUCUGUUCAUGUGUGCUUAGGUUGCAAAGGGGGAAUUAUAGAUUGGAUAUCAGAAUUACCUUUGUAAAAAACAGAUUUGAUAUUAAUCCCUCAUAGGUAAAAAUCAAGCCAACAAACUCAUCACCACUACAGUGCAAAAUCAGAGCUCAGACUCCCUGGUGGCAGCAGCUCAGGGAUGGACCUCCAGAAUAUGCAUUUUCAAAUGUUCCUCAGCACUCACACUGACUCACCCAGAGCAACUUCCAGUACUGUAAGCUCCAUCCAUGGUAAGUACCCUAUACAGGUAUACCUUUUUUUCUUUUAUAUCAUAUUUUACCUUACCUUUUCUAUGUUUAGAUACACAAACACUU
rnacentral:lncRNA from 10 species